CAGUAGCCGCGGUAAUACAGAGGGUGCAAGCGUUAAUCGGAAUUACUGGGCGUAAAGCGCGCGUAGGUGGUUCGCCAAGUUGGAUGUGAAAUCCCCGGGCUCAACCUGGGAACUGCAUCCAAAACUGGCGAGCUAGAGUAUGGUAGAGGGUGGUGGAAUUUCCUGUGUAGCGGUGAAAUGCGUAGAUAUAGGAAGGAACAUCAGUGGCGAAGGCGACCACCUGGACUGAUACUGACACUGAGGUGCGAAAGCGUGGGGAGCAAACAGGAUUAGAUACCCGAGUAGUCCCUGUCUCUUAUAC
rnacentral:rRNA from 1 species